UGGGGAAUUUUGGACAAUGGGCGAAANCCUGAUCCAGCAAUGCCGCGUGUGUGAAGAAGGCCUUCGGGUUGUAAAGCACUUUUGUCCGGAAAGAAAUCCUUGGCUCUAAUACAGUCGGGGGAUGACGGUACCGGAAGAAUAAGCACCGGCUAACUACGUGCCAGCAGCCGCGGUAAUACGUAGGGUGCAAGCGUUAAUCGGAAUUACUGGGCGUAAAGCGUGCGCAGGCGGUUUGCUAAGACCGAUGUGAAAUCCCCGGGCUCAACCUGGGAACUGCAUUGGUGACUGGCAGGCUAGAGGUAUGGCAGAGGGGGGUAGAAUUCCACGUGUAGCAGUGAAAUGCGUAGGAGAUGUGGAGGAAUACCGAUGGCGAAGGCAGCCCCCUGGGCCAAUACUGACGCUCAUGCACGAAAGCGUGGGGAGCAAACAGGAUUAGAUACCCCUGGUAGUCCACGCCCUAAAGCGAUGUCAACUAGUUGUUGGGGAUUCAUUUCCUUAGUAACGUAGCUAACGCGUGAAGUUGACCGCCUGGGGAGUAC
rnacentral:rRNA from 1 species